rnacentral:tRNA from 1 species
GGCCUUGUGGUGUCCACAUAUUAAAUUGCAAAUUUAAAGUUGCAGAUUACAAGUCUGCCGGGGCUU